GCCUAAUACAUGCAAGUCGAGCGAACUUGCGGGAGCUUGCUCCCAAAAGUUAGCGGCGGACGGGUGAGUAACACGUGGGCAACCUGCCUGUAAGACUGGGAUAACUUCGGGAAACCGGAGCUAAUACCGGAUAAUUCUUAUCAACUCAUGUUGAUAAGCUGAAAGUCGGUUUCGGCUGACACUUACAGAUGGGCCCGCGGCGCAUUAGCUAGUUGGUGAGGUAACGGCUCACCAAGGCAACGAUGCGUAGCCGACCUGAGAGGGUGAUCGGCCACACUGGGACUGAGACACGGCCCAGACUCCUACGGGAGGCAGCAGUAGGGAAUCUUCCACAAUGGACGAAAGUCUGAUGGAGCAACGCCGCGUGAGCGAUGAAGGCCUUCGGGUCGUAAAGCUCUGUUGUUAGGGAAGAACAAGUAUCGGAGUAACUGCCGGUACCUUGACGGUACCUAACCAGAAAGCCACGGCUAACUACGUGCCAGCAGCCGCGGUAAUACGUAGGUGGCAAGCGUUGUCCGGAAUUAUUGGGCGUAAAGCGCGCGCAGGCGGUCCUUUAAGUCUGAUGUGAAAGCCCACGGCUCAACCGUGGAGGGUCAUUGGAAACUGGGGGACUUGAGUGCAGAAGAGGAAAGCGGAAUUCCACGUGUAGCGGUGAAAUGCGUAG
rnacentral:rRNA from 1 species